UGGGGAAUAUUGCACAAUGGGCGCAAGCCUGAUGCAGCAACGCCGCGUGAACGAUGAAGGUCUUCGGAUCGUAAAGUUCUGUUGCAGGGGAAGAUAAUGACGGUACCCUGUGAGGAAGCCCCGGCUAACUACGUGCCAGCAGCCGCGGUAAUACGUAGGGGGCUAGCGUUAUCCGGAUUUACUGGGUGUAAAGGGAGCGCAGACGGUUUUGCAAGUCUGAAGUGAAAGCCCGAGGCUUAACCUCGGAGUUGCUUUGGAAACUGUAUAACUAGAGUAUCGGAGAGGUAAGUGGAAUUCCUAGUGUAGCGGUGAAAUGCGUAGAUAUUAGGAGGAACACCGGUGGCGAAGGCGGCUUACUGGACGAAAACUGACGUUGAGGCUCGAAGGCGUGGGGAGCAAACAGG
rnacentral:rRNA from 1 species